rnacentral:rRNA from 1 species
UACGUAGGUGGCAAGCGUUGUCCGGAUUUACUGGGCGUAAAGAGUGCGCAGGCGGUCGUUCAAGUCGCGUGUGAAAGCCCCCGGCUCAACUGGGGAGGGUCACGCGAUACUGAUCGACUCGAAGGCAGGAGAGGGUAGUGGAAUUCCCGGUGUAGUGGUGAAAUGCGUAGAUAUCGGGAGGAACAUCAGUGGCGAAGGCGGCCUGCUGGGCUGUCGCUGACGCUGAGGCGCGACAGCGUGGGGAGCAAACAGG